AUUAUGGCUCAGGAUGAACGCUAGCUACAGGCUUAACACAUGCAAGUCGAGGGGAAACGAUAUUGGAAGCUUGCUUCCGAUAGGCGUCGACCGGCGCACGGGUGAGUAACGCGUAUCCAACCUGCCCAUCACUUGGGGCUAACCUUGCGAAAGUAAGACUAAUACCCAAUGAUAUCUCUAGAAGACAUCUGAAAGGGAUUAAAGAUUUAUCGGUGAUGGAUGGGGAUGCGUCUGAUUAGCUUGUUGGCGGGGUAACGGCCCACCAAGGCUACGAUCAGUAGGGGUUCUGAGAGGAAGGUCCCCCACAUUGGAACUGAGACACGGUCCAAACUCCUACGGGAGGCAGCAGUGAGGAAUAUUGGUCAAUGGGCGAGAGCCUGAACCAGCCAAGUAGCGUGCAGGAUGACGGCCCUAUGGGUUGUAAACUGCUUUUAUAAGGGAAUAAAGUGAGCCUCGUGAGGCUUUUUGCAUGUACCUUAUGAAUAAGGACCGGCUAAUUCCGUGCCAGCAGCCGCGGUAAUACGGAAGGUCCGGGCGUUAUCCGGAUUUAUUGGGUUUAAAGGGAGCGUAGGCCGGAGAUUAAGCGUGUUGUGAAAUGUAGAUGCUCAACAUCUGCACUGCAGCGCGAACUGGUUUCCUUGAGUACGCACAAAGUGGGCGGAAUUCGUGGUGUAGCGGUGAAAUGCUUAGAUAUCACGAAGAACUCCGAUUGCGAAGGCAGCUCACUGGAGCGCAACUGACGCUGAAGCUCGAAAGUGCGGGUAUCGAACAGGAUUAGAUACCCUGGUAGUCCGCACGGUAAACGAUGGAUGCCCGCUGUUGGUCUGAAUAGGUCAGCGGCCAAGCGAAAGCAUUAAGCAUCCCACCUGGGGAGUACGCCGGCAACGGUGCAACUCAAAGGAAUUGACGG
rnacentral:rRNA from 1 species